UACGAAGGGGGCUAGCGUUGUCCGGAAUUAUUGGGCGUAAAGCGCGUGUAGGCGGCUCGAUAAGUCUGCUGUGAAAGUCCAAGGCUCAACCUUGGAAAGCCGGUGGAUACUGUCGAGCUCGAGUCCGGAAGAGGCGAGUGGAAUUCCUGGUGUAGCGGUGAAAUGCGCAGAUAUCAGGAGGAACACCUGUGGUGUAGACAGCUUACUGGACCACUUCUGACGCUGAGACACGAAAGCGUGGGUAGCAAACAGG
rnacentral:rRNA from 1 species